GGUCCGAUGGUGUAGUUGGUUAUCACUUCUGUCUAACAAUGCGCUGGUUUCUCGAAAGAGCUUUCCAAAGAUUUGCUUGUUCACAGGCGGUCCUCAGUUCGAACCUGGGUCGGAUCA